rfam:Schistosoma curassoni strain Dakar, Senegal genome assembly, scaffold: SCTD_contig0003296
GCACUGAUGAGAAGUCCCACAAUAGGACGAAACGGCCGUCCAGUAU